rnacentral:tRNA from 1 species
GGGGGUAUAGCUCAGUGGUAGAGCACCCUCACAUACGUAUCGGAAGGUCGGGGGUUCGACUCCCUCUGCCUCCA